ensembl:snRNA U2 U2 spliceosomal RNA
AUCGCUUCUCGGCCUUUUGGCUAAGAUCAAGUGUAGUAUCUGUUCUUAUCAGUUUCAGAUCAGAUAAUUGCUACUUGUGACGAAGCGGGGAGCUUGAUGAAAGCGGAGAAGCUGUGUUCCCAUUAGGGAAGAGCUGCCAAGCUUUUUGUCGGGGGCUUUGCACAUGCUUAUUAUGCCUAAUCAUGCUUUACAUU